CAUGAAAAACGAUGGCGCUCCCUCGCAGCUGUCCUUACCGGAACCUCGAGCCCAUCUGUCUCCAUGGAAGUUAUUUCCCAUAAUGCCUCCGUCCCUCAGAGCGGGAGCCGCUGACAGAGACGGAAAGCGGUCAUUCUGAGCGGCCGGCUGUGGGAAGGACAUUUUUCUCUCUCCAUUUCCAACAAAUGUCAUCAUCGGUCCAUCAAAGACUGGAGCUGAAGAUUGAUUGGCGGCUUCGUCCACCAAUAGGAGACACUGCAGCGGCUUUUGUCCACUUCCAUUGUGUGGAAAUUAGUGGUUCAAGAGGACAAAAGCUCAUUUUAUGUUCAACAGAAGACAGAAGGAACUUAAGGGCCCCGGGAGGUUCACCAACAGAGUAAGAACACUGUGAUCGGAGCGCGGGAACAUUCAUAACACUGGAUGAUGCAUUUCCACUGUGAGGUCAAAGGUCACUGGACUUCAGUUUGUGACUCACGGUCAGAAUGGUUUGCCAGCUCUGAGAUGCAUGUAAAUGCACCAGUGCAGCUGCAGAAACACUUCGGUGCAUUAACACUCCAGUCACACGCAGCCCUCAUUACACGAAACGACAAGCGUGAGAUGUCACUGCAAUCUGCUGCAUGAUUCAUGUGCAUCUUACAUGCAUUCAUGAACAAAUCUAAAACUCAGCGAACUGCUCUGGAAACAUGAGGAGAGGCUGAAUUACGUCUGAUCUGAGGAAACAUCAGGCCUGUAAAAGCCCAGAGACCAGCGGAGGCGUGAGAGCAGAACAUAAAUA